rnacentral:rRNA from 1 species
AGUGAACGCUGGCGGUAGGCCUAACACAUGCCAGUCGAACGGCAGCACAGUAAGAGCUUGCUCUUACGGGUGGCGAGUGGCGGACGGGUGAGGAAUACAUCGGAAUCUACUUUUUCGUGGGGGAUAACGUAGGGAAACUUACGCUAAUACCGCAUACGACCUACGGGUGAAAGCAGGGGAUCUUCGGACCUUGCGCGAUUGAAUGAGCCGAUGUCGGAUUAGCUAGUUGGCGGGGUAAAGGCCCACCAAGGCGACGAUCCGUAGCUGGUCUGAGAGGAUGAUCAGCCACACUGGAACUGAGACACGGUCCAGACUCCUACGGGAGGCAGCAGUGGGGAAUAUUGGACAAUGGGCGCAAGCCUGAUCCAGCCAUACCGCGUGGGUGAAGAAGGCAUUCGGGUUGUAAAGCCCUUUUGUUGGGAAAGAAAAGCAGCAGGUUAAUACCCCGCUGUUCUGACGGUACCCAAAGAAUAAGCACCGGCUAACUUCGUG